UUGCUUUGCUUAUUUGUUUAUUUUUGGCGGUUUGUUUUAUUUCCAUUGUUUUGGGUUUGGUUGGUUUUGGGGUUGGUUUUUUUUUUUUUGAGUUUUCGCUGGUUUAUUUUGCUCCGGUGGAGGGGGGAGGUGGGUUUUCUGCGAUACCGUUCCGGAGUCGGAGCAUCCUGGACCAGUUGGCAGGAGGAGGACUUUAAACGCAUUUUCCCGCGGCAGUACGUGUCUCUUGGUGGCCACCAAGGCGCAAACCUAAGUCUGCACGGAGGGCGCUUCAAAUUUUUCCUCUUUUUUGAAAGGGAAGGGGUGGGGGGAGGGGGGGAACUCAAGGCCUCCAAAUACAAACCCCUGUCUCCCGCAAUCCGCGGUUUUUACCAGCUGGCAGUUGGGUGCCGGGACGUGAAAGAGGCCCCGAGUAAAACACCGACUUUUAAGCAGGCGGCCGGGCUGGGGGCGGCCGGUCCCCGCGACGGCGGGCCCGGCGGUUCUCCCGCGAGGCACGAGCGCCCCCAGCCCGCGGGACGGGACGCGCAGCGCCGCCGCCGCCGCCCCCGCCCGCCCGGCCCGGCCCGGCCCGGCCCGGCCCCCGCGGACACGCGUGUCCGGGCGCGGCGGCUUCUCGCGGGGCGCGGUGCGGCGGGGGGGGCCUGGCGGCUCCGGUCUCUGCCGUCCCGGAGGCACGCGGGGGCGGGUACCGCUUUCUGCGGAGUGGGAGGCGUGGGGGGACCCACGCGUGGCCCGCGGGACCCACGGGCAGGCAGCACGCCGGCGGUGCUGUCAGAAGUUAAGGCCGGCGUGUGCUGGGCACCCUUCCCCGUGCUCUGGUGCCAUCUCCUGCGGUGCGAAGGAGACACACGCUCGGUGCCGCUGCCACCGCUACGCUGCGGUGCCUCAGCUCACAGCAUCACAGAAAACUUAAUUUGCUAUAUAUUAAAAAAAUUAAUUCGUUUCGUGAGAUUAGGAAUGGCAGGAGCAGGGGGGGUUCAAGUCAUCCACCGCGGGGGGGUGCGGGGGACAUACACACGAGGCGUUGUUCUCUCCCUCCGCCACGUCGGAUCAACAAAACAAGAACAAGUCGGUCCACAGAGGGCCCCGUCCCGGGGUCCUGCCCACGCACCCGCACGCCUGCCCCCACCCGCAAGCAUGAGCAAGCUGAGCAAAUCAGUGGUUUAA
rnacentral:lncRNA from 1 species